rnacentral:rRNA from 1 species
UACGUAGGGGGCAAGCGUUGUCCGGAUUUAUUGGGCGUAAAGAGCGUGUAGGCGGCUUGGUAGGUCUUGCGUCAAAACCUGAGGCUCAACCUCAGUUCGCGUGGGAAAUCAUCUAGCUAGAGUCCGGAAGAGGAGAACGGAAUUCCCAGUGUAGCGGUGAAAUGCGCAGAUAUUGGGAAGAACACCAGUGGCGAAGGCGGUUCUCUGGGACGGUACUGACGCUGAGACGCGAAAGCGUGGGGAGCGAACAGG